ACAUUUGCACAGAUGCUGCUGCUAUAGUACUUUCAGGCAAGGCCAAGGCUUCUUGAAAGGCUGGUCAUGCCCCAGUGAUCAAUGAAGAACUCAGGGAUAUCCCAAAACUCAGGACUAUAAGGCACAAUGGGGGAGCAGGUACCAGGUGGCCAGCAUCCUAAAUGACUCUCAGCAGCUGCAGAGAAGACCAUAAUGGAUGGAUAUAUAGGCUGACGUAUAUCAGUUGGCUUCAGUUGUUUGGUGAUAUUCACCAGAUCUAUAUUUUGCUAUUUUAUGGAUAUUAUUUUCAAUUUCUGAGUUUUGUCUUUUCCAGAAUGCCGUACAGUUGAAAUCAUACGGUAUAUAGACUUUGCAGGUUUUUAUGCGGACAUGUUUUUUGACUCCUUUGGGCAAAUACCAAGGAGCAAGAUUGCUGGAUCAUAUGGAAAGAGGCAUUACCAUAUCAAAGCCUUUAGCCUUCUUGCAUCACGACAAAAAUUCGAACUUGGUGUUUGAAGAACAUGAAAAAUGAGGAGGAAUAAAAUAAUCAUGAGUCUCCUGGUCAUUAACUGCAUGAAGUUGAGCUGGUCACUUAAGCCAUUCCUAAUAUGUAACUUGAGAGUAUAGUAUUAGAUAUUCAGUAAAUUCCCUUCAAAAUUCAUA
rnacentral:lncRNA from 10 species